rnacentral:lncRNA from 1 species
UGUUUACCUGAUAACAUAAUGAAAUAGCUAUUAAAAUUAAUAUCAUUACCACUUUAAUUUUACAGGCAAGAAGUUAAAAUUCUGAAAAGACUAUCCUGUAAGAACACUAGAAAAGGUGUCUUACAGCAAAUCUUCUUAAGCACUGGCUUGCAACCAGGAUAGAGUAAGUUCAGAGCCUCACAGUCAAUUCCUGGAUUCGAACCUCAUAAUAGAUUCCUGAAUGCCUGGACACCACAUCACCCUAGCUCCCUGCCCGAAGCACCCUGCACUGGGCAGGGUUUAGGUUUUCUGGAUUCUUUUGUAUAUUUAUAACAAUGUCUUGGAGAUAUAGUUGUGAGGAG